UACGUAGGGAGCAAGCGUUGUCCGGAAUCAUUGGGCGUAAAGAGCUCGUAGGCGGUGUGUCACGUCGGCCGUGAAAACCUGCAGCUUAACUGUGGGCUUGCGGUCGAUACGGGCAUCACUGGAGUUCGGCAGGGGAGACUGGAAUUCCUGGUGUAGCGGUGAAAUGCGCAGAUAUCAGGAGGAACACCGGUGGCGAAGGCGGGUCUCUGGGCCGAUACUGACGCUGAGGAGCGAAAGCGUGGGGAGCGAACAGG
rnacentral:rRNA from 1 species